rnacentral:rRNA from 1 species
UACGGAGGAUGCAAGUGUUAUCCGGAAUCACUGGGCGUAAAGCGUCUGUAGGUGGUCAAAUAAGUCAACUGUUAAAUCUUGAGGCUCAACCUCAAAAUCGCAGUCGAAACUAUUAGACUAGAGUAUAGUAGGGGUAAAGGGAAUUUCCAGUGGAGCGGUGAAAUACGUAGAGAUUGGAAAGAACACCGAUGGCGAAGGCACUUUACUGGGCUAUUACUAACACUCAGAGACGAAAGCUAGGGUAGCAAAUGGG